AAUUACUGCAUAAUCAUAUCCAUAGGAAAUGGGGGCAAAACACAACUGCCCCAAUCCUACACUUUAAGAUCUAUAAACAAUUUCUAUUUUGCAUCUGAAUUGGAGCUAUUUAAAAAGGUAAACUACAAGGGCACCUGGGUGUCUCAGGGGGUCAAGGUCAAGCGUCUACCUUCCACUCAGGUCAUGACCCUUGGGGUCCUGACCAGGUCCUCAGCCUGGAGUCUGCUUCUCCUUCUCCCUCAGACACUCCCCCUGCUUAUGCUCUUCUCUCAAAUAAAUAAAAUCUUAAAAAAAUAAAAGGGUAAACUACAAGUUCACACACACAGAAUUUAGCUGAAAACUUGUGGAAAAAGAUGGGUGCACUAGGAUAUCAGAGCUUUGUAUCCGUAGACAUCUGAAUCAUAAAAUUUAUUUCCUUUGUUCUAAUUCUAUUGUCACCAAGGCAACCUCUUGAUUAUUUUAAUUCCUAUAAAUUUGGCUACAAGGAGGAAACACACUGGCCUGAGAGAUGCCAGCCGGCUCUCUGGCAACCGAAGAAAAGAAAGGCCUCUGCCCCGCUCACCCCAUCCUGCGGUGCCUGCCGUGGCGUUUUGCACAAACUGUGGAAAUUGAUUAAUUGUGUGGAUAAAGUGUAGAUGAGGAAGCACGCCAGUCUCCUGGGCGGCAAGGGACAGUGAACCGAGCCCUCCAGGGGCCUCUCCUCAGCCUGACUUGUCGUAUUAGAAAUAUUAGCGUCUAUGAAGAAUGUGAGGCAGCCUCCCAGCCCCCAUACUGAUGGGCGCAGACCCCUGCACCAGAAACCAGAAGAAAAGGAGUCGGGCUUGAAUCGAAGAAAUGUCUCUGGCAAAUGGGCCUUCGCUUGAUGGCCAAGGCCUGUCUUUUAAGAACAAACUCAUUCACUCUAAGAAAAAGCCUAAGUAAUUGAAAGGUCUACCUUCUGCAGGGUCUUCUGUGAUUGUGGGAAAUGCUGGACUGUGACUAUUUUGACAAAGGACAUGAACUGGAACUCUCCCGCAGACACCAGGCACUGAAUAAAUGCUUGAUGAAUAAAUGAAUCGUGUUACCUGCUCGGCCAGAAUCUGCUGCUGCUGUUGCUGCUGCUGCUGCUGUUGCUGUUGCUGCUGUUGCUGCUGCUGCUGUUGCUGCUGCUGCUGCUGCUGCCUUUGCUCCCGCAGGAACUGUUGCUUCUGCUGCUCCAUCAACUGGGCCCGCUGGUCAAUGAGCAUCUGCUUCAUGAUGGCAGCCUGGGGCUGGGUGCUGAGGAAGCCAGGACCCGCAGGACUGGCUCCGGAGACCAUGCCACCCGAGCCCGGGGGCACCGAGGACUGCAUGGAGCCUGUGGUCCGGGGAAGUCCAACUGGGUGCUGCUCCUGGGAGGACAGCAAGACGAGAGAAGGCACAGAUUUCAUACCCUUUUCAUGAAAGGAAGCAUGGGGCAGAGGUCUUGGCUUGUGGACCUGAGAGGUUCCAGGAGGCACACACUCCAUUCCACAAAAACAAUCCAGUGAUCCUCAAAUCUGGCCUUGCCAUAGCGGAACUGGAGGCCCGCAGGAGGACAGUAAAAGAGGAUGGCUCCAGGAAAUCUGAGAGCAAGUCCAGCCUGUUUGAUUAAGGGACAAAGACUGGGCAACCAGCUAACAGUCUGCACUCCUCCAAAGGAGAGAGACCAAGACCCCAGGGUGGGCUCACCUCAAGUCUGGAACGAGAGAGCCUGGCCUUACCUCUUAGCCUUUCCUGCCUCCCUGGCCUAAAUGGACUUCUUCUAGCUAAGUGGAGAGACAUUCACAGAAUAAUUCUGGAAUUUUUUAAUCAUUAGAUCUACUAUUCCAUGGAAUUCUAAUUGAUUGCAACAUUUGAGAGCUUUGCUAUACGUAAAAAAAAAAAAAAAAAAAAAAAAAUUCCUGCUAGUGGGAGUUGUUGACAGUGAAAACUGGAAAUGUGUGUUAUUGAACAAAGCUAUAUAGUCUCCCGACAACUUUAAAAAUAGAACUGAGCCUCCUAUGUCUGGGACAAUUUAUAAUGUGGGGGUUGAUGGGGGUCUUCUGAUUUUACAACUGUCUCCAUCAAACGACGGGAAUUUGUAAGGAUUGGUUCUUAAGGAGUAGGAAGUAAAGUGGCAGAGAACUACUCACAGACUAAGUGACUACCUGGAGAGCGUGCUCAGAGGGGAAGCCUAUAACAGCCAGCCAGGGUAGACUAAGGAAAAAAAAGCCUGAUGGGAAGCGUUGGUAGAUGACCAUACGAUUCGGCUUCUAGAUAGUUCCUUUCUUGUUCAUCUACCAAGCACACCCGGUAAUGGCAAGUAUUGUGUGAAUAUCCCGCAGAAACGUCCCCUUUGAUUCGAGUUGCCAGUGAUUAAUCGGAACACAGCGGAUCUCAUGUCUGAGAUGAGCACAAAUUAAGUGGGCACACAUGCAAGAACUUACCGGUCAUAGUACAGGUACCAUCAUGAGGCCAAAAUAGUAAGAAAUGAGUAUGAAUAGUUCUAUAGUUAUUUAAAUAUUUUUGUAUCCAGUUAAGCUAGAUUUUAAUAUUUUUCCUACUUCUGCUUUGCUACCUUUUUGAUUCACAUAUAGUCAAGCAUGCUGGCCCUGUCCUCUCAAAAACAUACUGUUGAGCGUGACCUCUGGCUCUCCUAGACAACAGCCCCGGAUCUGAUUCCGCACAGCCUGGACUUGUAUACCUUCCCCUGUUGUGUGGUGCUCAGCCCCUCCUACUUUUCU